CACAACACGAGUGUGUUUGAACAUGACAGACAGCCGGUUACAACAUGUGCUCGACAUUCUGCGCUCGUUAUAUCCGUCAGUUCAGACUCUGGAGGAGUUCACACACGGGCUCGUGUUCGGUGACGGACAGAAGCCGCGUUUACUGGACGAGUCUGACGGCGCGCGCUUAAAAUCACUCAUCAGGGGACUGAUGAUAUGCGCGCUCACGCCGCUUCAGCAGCUGCGCGCUCCCGCACAGCUCAGCACCCUGCCUGAAGUUUUGGCGUUCACACUGAACCACAUCAAACGUAAGAAACUGCGUAAUGUCCUGGGAUUCAGCUAUCAGUGCAGCGACGUCCUGGCGUGCACGGAUCCCUUCAGAUUCCACGGAGACAUCUCUCAGAGCGCUGCUUACAUCAGCACCAGCGAGCUGUGGAAGAGAAUCAACCAGAGACUCGGGACGGAGAUCACCAGAUACCUGCUGCAGGACUGUGCCAUCUUCGUCACCAUCCCACCCUCGUGUGUACUGCAGGUGUGCGGCGAGCCCCUGUACGACCUCCUGCUCCCGCGGACUUGCUCUGGAUUCUUCCUGAGACACGCCUCGCCUCAAGUGUCCUACAACUUGGCACGUAAAAAUCCCUUCAGGACAUGGAAUAUUAGAAGUAAUAGGAAUAUAGUCUUGGAAAAGACUAAAAAGAGAGAUCGGAAGGAGGAUGCGGAAGAUAAACGUCAAGAUUGCCCUGCAACAAAACGACAAAGGGUGAUUAUGGAAACUGGGAAUGGCGUCGACACCCUCAAGAAAGAUUUAGGACCACGGACGGACACCGAUCGCCCUUCGACCACCCGUCCUCAAAGCCACGGAGUAAAGAGCUGGAAGCCAGCGGAUCAGUGCCCGCCUCGCCCAUCGCACUGCUCCAUCCGUGUACUGGGCAUGCUCUACAACGGGCGUGGCAUGAAGGGCUUCCUACUCAACAGGAAGUUGAAAGCAGGCAUGGGCGCCGUUUGGCGCUUGCAGGGUGAGGAUCUUGUCAGAUUAGUAUUCCUUCAAGGACAGUCGAAUGUGUCCGACGGAAAGUCCAAAAUUAAAAAACUUCCCAAACGUUUCUUCAACACUGUACCGCUGUUCAGUCGACUCCUACGGCAGCACAGGAAGUGCCCGUACACCCUCUUCCUGCAGAGGAAGUGCUCCGGGAACACGGGGGAACAGGAUAUGGAGGCUUUGCUGGGCUCACACUACUCCCCCUACAGGGUGUAUCUGUUUGUAAGGGAAUGUUUGCGAUACGUUAUUCCAGAGGAACUCUGGGGCUCCCGGGAAAACCAGCUCCACUUCCUGUCUAAUGUGAAGAACUUCCUGCGACUUGGAAAAUUUGAGCGUUUCUCAUUGGUCCAGCUUAUGUGGAGGAUGAAGGUUACGGACUGCCAUUGGCUGGGACCCAACAAACGUCAGUGUGCCAGUGAGCACCGGUACAGGGAGUGGAUCUUCAGUCAGUUUCUUCUCUGGCUGUUGAAUGAGUACGUUAUCGGCCUGGUGAAAGCGCUGUUCUACGUCACUGAGAGUAUGGGCCAGAAACACACGCUGCGCUUCUACAGGACAGAAGUGUGGAGCAAACUAUACGAGCGGGCGUUCAGAGUUCAUCUGUCUAAGGGCCAUUGGAGGGCGCUGUCUCCUUCUGAAGUGAUCAAAUUCCCAAAAACCACCAUAACAUCCCGGAUUCGGUUCAUCCCAAAGACCAACAGCAUGAGACCCAUCACACGACUCUCUGGAACCAGAGAAGCACUGCAGCAUUUCCAGAGCUGCGUGCGAGUGUUGCAGAACGUGCUGAGCGCGUGUGUGCGGGAGGCCCCGGGGCAGAUGGGCUCGACGGUUUGGGGUUGGCAAGACAUCCAAAGAGUUCUCACAGAGUUCACGCCGCAGCAGAAAUGCUCACCGCGACCACUGUACUUCGUUAAGGUGGACGUGAGUGGGGCGUAUGACAGUCUUCCUCACGCCAAGCUGGUGGAGGUGUUGGAUGAGGUGUUGAGUCCGUUCAAGCAGCGGAGUUUCUUUCUGCGGCAGUACGCGCGCGUGUGGAACGACCCCAACCAGGGUCUGAGGAGACAGUUCUGCACUAAAGCAGAGAUGUGUGAACCUCUGAACAUGAAGGGGUUUGUUCUGGAUGAGCAGGCCAACGGAGCCUUACACGAUGCCAUCUUAGUGGAGCGGCACUCUUCUGAGGUCAGAGGUCAAGAUGUGUUUCAGUUCUUCAAGAAGAUGUUGAGCAGCUUCAUCAUCCAGCAUGAGAAGAAAAUGUUCCGGCAGGUGUGUGGGAUUCCUCAGGGAUCUUCCGUGUCGGCUCUGUUAUGUAACCUGUGUUAUGGACACAUGGAGAACUCGUUACUGAAAGACGUCACAAAGGGCGGGUGUCUGAUGAGGCUGGUUGAUGAUUUUUUGCUCAUUACGCCUCAUCUGAGUAAGGCCACAGAGUUCCUGACGAUGUUGUUGUCUGGCGUGCCUGAAUACGGUUGUAAAAUAAACCCACAGAAAGUGGCGGUGAAUUUCCCAGUGUGUGACGAGUGGCUGAAUUGUGGUGUGACGGUGUUUCCAUCAUGUUGCCUGUUCCCGUGGUGCGGUCUGAUGCUCGACACACACAUGCUGGAUGUCUAUAAGGAUUACUCACGCUAUGAUGGCCUAUCACUGCGCUACAGCCUGACGAUAGGCUCCGCCCACUCACCAGCCAUGGUCAUGAAGAAGCUGCUGUCAAUCAUCAGACUCAAGUGUACUGGAAUCUUUGUGGACCUCAGGAUGAAUUCUGUGGAAGCCGUUUACAAAAGCUUGUACAAACUCAUUCUGUUGCAGGCUCUCAGGUUUCAUGCGUGUGUGAAGAGUUUGCCCCUGGGCCAGAAUGUUGGGGCCAAUCCGUCGUUCUAUCUGAAGAUGAUCUGGACUAUGGCUCGAGUUACUAAUAAACUCGUAAGACACACAAAUACAGGUCUGGUUCUGGGCUAUGCGGAUGGUGGAGGUGUUCUGCAGUACGAGGCGGUGCAGUUGUUGUUCUGUCUGGCGUUUCAGGUUGUUUUCACGCGUUUCCGCCCCUUUUACCGCAGCCUCCUGGUGCGACUGCACAAACGAAAGAGGCGUCUACAGUACGUGCUCCAUGGCAUCAGAUUGGCACGAGUGCGUCAGGCGGCCACACCCAGAAUCCCUAACGACUUUAAAACCAUCAGGACGUAAACACAUAAACCUGCAUAAAGAAACGGCCCUCUAUUAUCAGCUCGCGUUUACUGCGGUCAUGCGCUGCCUCUGUAAAUGCCAGCAUGUUUACAGGUGCAUCAGCAGGAAGUGUUUUCUUCCACACUGACUCAUACAGCAGCUGAUUAAACAGAUGUGACUUCUAUCGUAAAUUGUUGAUGGAUUGUCGUUAAACUGAGAAAGCAGCGAUAAGAGAGUCUCGUAAACAAAACUUGUAAUGGUAGAGAAGUAGUGCUGUCGAAGUGAAUGGAAGAUGACAGGCCAUUAAGCAGGUUUUAUUCAACUCUGUCUUUUGGUAGAUUGUUUGCUGUUGUUAUGGUGCAUGUUUAUAUGUUAUUUGCUUGUGUUGAUGCAUUUAUAAGCCUUCAUCUUUCAGGGUCCCCGCGGGUCCUUAAAAAGUCUUGAAACGGCUUAAAUAAAAUUUUUGAUUUUUAAGGUCUGAAAAUGUCUUGAAUUCUGGAAUUUUCCAUAAGGAGGUCUUAAAUUUCAUGUGGGAUCUUAAAUUUCAUGUCCGUCUCGUCAUUUUUAUUUAUUUUUUCAACCGCAAUUUGACCAGCGCAACAUUUGGGGGCAGCACUUCGUGGGUGCAACCUGCAUCAUUCCAUAGGUGACAUACGAGUAAGUGAUUGAUGAAUGCGUUCCGUUGAUGGUUCGCCACCACGGCAUUUUGCGAAAUCGCAAGCAUGGGCAAAUGUUUGUUUAAUGACAAUUGGUUGGAGGACGAAAAGUAUCCCUGAAGAAAACAGCCAGUAAUCAUGAAGCGAGGUGUGCUUUAUGUAAAAAGACGAUACAGCUGGGGUCAAUGGGCCACAUAGCGCUCGAUUCACACAUGAAAGCAUAGAAGUAUGUGUCGUCGCAGGCAAGUAGUUUGCCCAUAAUGUUCUCAUCGAGCACUUCGACCUCUCAGCCUUCCACAAGGCCGUCCACUUCAAGCAAUGUCUUCGGCAGCUUUGCGAAUGUAGCUACACUUAAAGCCGAAAUACUGUGGGUAUUUCAAACCGUAAGCCGCCACCACUCGUACAACUCAAAUGAGGACAUCCACCUAGUUUUUCAAGCAAUGUUCCCUGACUCAGAGUGUGCGAGUACGUUCACGUGUGGAAGGGACAAAACCGCAUAUUUAGCACGAUUUGGUGUUGCCCCAUACCUAAUGAAGGAACUAAUUUCACGGGCAAACAAGGACGCUUUCAUCAUAAUGUUCGAUGAGUCCAUGAACAAACAACGAAAACUAAACAGUUGGACUUGCACGUCAGACAUUGGCCAACCGACGAGACCGGCACCCCGAUUGUCAGGUCUCGCUAUCUUGGUUCUCAGUUUUUGGGCCACUCAACGGCAGAAGACUUGCUGGAGCAGUUUAAGGAGGGCACCAAGGAACUUAAUUUAAGGAACAUGCUUUCUGUGUCAAUGGAUGGACCUGCAGUAAAUUGGAAAUUCAUGGAUCUCCUACAACUGGAACAUGCUGAACAGUUUGGGAGGAUUCAACUCCAAGCGGUAGGAAGCUGUGGUAUCCACAGCCUACACAAUUCAUUUAAAGCUGGAUUUGAGGUGUGGCAUGUAGAAAAGGUGCUGAGAUCUCUCCACUAUCUCUUCAAUAAUGCCCCAGCAAGAAGAGAGGAUUUCACAUCUGCAACACUGUCAUCCACAUUCCCCUUAUCCUUCUGUGGCCAUCGUUGGCUUGAAAAUGUGCCUGCUGCAGAGAGGGCGAUUGAAAUUUGGCCCUCUAUUGAGAAGUUUGUUGACCAAGUGUCAACAAAGAAGGUGAAGAACCCAGGAAAUGCAUCAUUCGACACCCUCUCUGAGGCAAGAAAGGAUCCUCUUAUCUGUGCCAAACUCCACUUCUUUGUGUUCAUAGCAAGAGUCUUUCAACCAUUUCUGGAAAAAUAUCAAAAAGAUGCUCCCAUGAUGCCCUUCCUUUGGAAUGACUUGGAGGAUUUGAUAGGGAGCCUUCUCAAACGAUUCAUGAAGCGCGAUGCUUUGCCCUCGAGUCCAUAUAAGCUGGUGAGGCUCGAUGUCACAGCCCAGAAGCUUUGGCUUGGCACAAAAGAUGUUGACAUUGGCAUGAGUGCAGCAGCUGUUAUCAAGGGACUGUCAGGGGGCCAAGGGCAGGGUAAGCGAGCUUGGUGUGCUGCAGUUUAAAAAAGAAUGCCAGAAUGCGCUUUCAAAAAUAUGCAAGAAGGCACUGGAUAAGUGCCCUCUAAAAUAUGCCACUGUCCAUAACAUGAUGUGCCUGGACCCAAGAAAAAUGUAUUCCAGCCCAGACGAAUGCCAACAGAAACUGAAACGCGUCAUUGAGAAGUUUGUGCUGGACAAACAGUUGACAGGCGGGAUAUAUUCAGGUGAUGUGAUUUCUCAGCAGUUUGAGAAGGCCCUUUCCAAUGAGGCCAAAUCGCUGGAAUUUGCAAACUUCCAGCCCUCAGUGUCCAGGGUUGAUACAUUCCUGUCUCAGAAUCUCAGUUCCUACACUGAUCUGUGGAAGUUACUACUCCUCUCACAUGGACAAGCUGAAGUGGAGCGGGGCUUCUCCAUCAACAAAGAGGUGGAGACGUGCAACAUGUCUGAGGAGACAGUUGUUAUUCAAAGGCUCAUCUGUGAUCAAUUGAAUGUUUGUGGGGGGGGUGACACAAGUGCCUAUUACAAAAGAGAUAAUCAGUUACUGUGCCUCAGCACGGAGCCGUUACCGCGCACACUUGGAAGAGGAAAAAAAGAAGAGAGAGACAGAAGAAAACUCCAAGAAAAGAAAGUAUGUCGAAGAGGACCUGAAAGAGCUAAAGCAAAAGAAAAAAUCAAUUCGAGAAAUUUGCAUAUCUUUGGAGAAUGAUGCAGAUAGAAUGGCAGAGCAAGCCCAAAGUUCAGGUGGUAGUAAAAUGGCCAUAUUGAUCACAGAAUCCAAUUCUUUGAGGAGAAGAGCUAAAGAUAAACAUAAAGAACUAAUUGAGUUGGAUGCAGAAAUUGAAAACAAAACUGUAGAAUUGACAAAACUGUCAUGAGGGCUUUGAGUUUGAGAACUUAAAAGUUGAAGGUUUACAUGUACCGUUAGUGAUUUAUUUGUAUUAUUUGCUGAAUGUUACUGUCUGGGCCUAGAAAAUCAGUUCCUUUUAUGUUUGAUCAGCACUGUGGCUUUAUAGGGAAGUCCGAAGCUGUUUCUCUAUUUGUCAUCCCAUGUAAGCAUGACUGUUUUCAUGCUAUUCUGUUUGUAUACUGUUAUACAUGUAUAUCUUUGGAUUGCCAGAUUGGCAUUAAUCCCAUUGUUGACCAUAUUGGAAGUUUGAUGCACAGUACUGAAAGUAGUUGCUGAACAAAGCACUUUUAAAUAAAUUUCUG